rnacentral:misc_RNA from 1 species
GUUAUUAUUUCAUGUGAUUAAGGCUUUUAGGGAUUUUGAAUUUUUUUUCUUGUGGUAGAAAAUUUCUUGUUGCUGCCAUUGAAUUGUGUAGCAAUGAAAAUUGCAAAAUGUUCGGCUCUGCUAAUUAUGAUUUGGGGAAUUUAUAAUGGAAGAAAUUAACAUGAAAUGAAAUAAGAGUAUAGUUUGUCUCUUUAAUUACUUUCUCACUACCACAUUGUUUAAAGAUAUUAAAGAUAAAUAACAAUUAAAUGUUAUAUGAUUUGGGAUAAAAUUUUAUCAUGCCAAUAAAAUUCUAUAACCAUCAAGCAAACAAACUAAAAUAAUUACCUUAUGUUAUUUGAAUUAUGAUAAAUUAUUCACAUUUAUUUAUUUUUUGCUGAUUUUUUUUUUCUUUA